CUCUAAUAAACACAGUAUAAACAUCCUACUAGAUAUUAGCAUAAUAUAGUAUGCCUUCAGAGGUUAUAGGAUAGAGUCUACAAAUAUAGGUGAAUUAAAUGAUGCUGUAUACACCAAGAGUCAAUAGCUUGGGAGGUAUCAUGCAGCCGGACACUUAGUGAUGGUCAACCUAAACCAGUGCGUCCAUCAUGCCCAUUCUGGAAGUUAGUGGAUGCGGGACUGUCAUUUUGGCUUGCUCAUGAUGCACAACACGGCCUCGGGGGUAUCUGGGGGAAGCAGCAGGAUGGCUCGGGGUGCGGCAGGGCAUUUCUGGGGAAGCUUUCACAAUCUCAGGUAGGGUCUGCCUGUGCUGCAGUGUUCUCCAAAAAGCAUCGAAGAGGGCCUCCAAGUGCUGAAGUAUAAGGAGCUCUUCGCCUCUGGGUAUAGGGGUUUUCGUGGCAUCUG